rnacentral:rRNA from 1 species
UCAUUAUAUGCUUGUCUCAAAGAUUAAGCCAUGCAUGCUCUGCCAAACUGAAUGAUCAGAAAAGCUGCGAACGGCUCAUUAAACCAGUCAUCAUCUGCCACAGUCAUAACCCCACGGUGACGUGAUAGUGAUAACCAUGGUAAUUCUAUGGAUAAUCACAAAAAUCGACACUUCUGUCUUGACAGCAACCAGUCUUGAUCGUUGUGAUGAAUUUCUGCCCUAUCAAGUAGACGGUAGGGUAGUGGCCUACGGUGCUUUUUACGGGUAACGGGGAAUAAGGGUUCGAUUCCGGAGAGGGAGCAUGAGAAACGGCUACCACUUCCAAGGAAGGCAGCAGGCGCGUAAAUUACCCAAUCGUCAUAGACGGAGGUAGUGACAAGAAAUAACGAAACGGUGCAGUAUCUGUACCGCUUUCGGAAUGAGUGCAAUCUAAAUCACUCAACAAGGAACAAUUGGAGGGCAAGUCUGGUGCCAGCAGCCGCGGUAAUUCCAGCUCCAAUAGCAUAUAUGAAUGUUGCUGCAGUUAAAAAGUUCGUAGUCGUAAUGGAUGAUGGUACACUGAACCACGUUGUUCUGUUGCCGUUGCCGAACCGCAGAGCUGCAAGGUCGGUGUCUCGUUAAUGUGUGUGAAAACCUCAUUAAUCGUGUACCGUGAGCAAAUCAAAGCGAUUCAAGCACGUUAUCAGAAUGAUGAAGCAUGGUCCACUGUCCAGGACCCUUGGCGAAAGCUUAGAGGGAUCCAUUUAAAUAGGGACGUGUAUAAUCAGGGACACUAGUAUUGGGC